GACGAACGCUGGCGGCGUGCCUAAUACAUGCAAGUCGAGCGGACUUUCAAGAAGCUUGCUUUUUGAAAGUUAGCGGCGGACGGGUGAGUAACACGUGGGCAACCUGCCUGCAAGACGGGGAUAACUCCGGGAAACCGGGGCUAAUACCGGAUAAUAUCUUCCUUCGCAUGAAGGAAGGUUGAAAGGCGGCGCAAGCUGCCGCUUGCAGAUGGGCCCGCGGCGCAUUAGCUAGUUGGUGAGGUAACGGCUCACCAAGGCGACGAUGCGUAGCCGACCUGAGCGGGUGAUCGGCCACCCUGGGACUGCGACACGGCCCAGACUCCUACGGGAGGCAGCAGUAGGGAAUCUUCCGCAAUGGACGAAAGUCUGACGGAGCCACGCCGCGUGAGCGAAGAAGGUCUUCGGAUCGUAAAGCUCUGUUGUCAGGGAAGAACAAGUACCGUUCGAACAGGGCGGUACCUUGACGGUACCUGACCAGAAAGCCACGGCUAACUACGUG
rnacentral:rRNA from 1 species